AGCGAACGCUGGCGGCAGGCCUAACACAUGCAAGUCGAACGAACUCUUCGGAGUUAGUGGCGGACGGGUGAGUAACACGUGGGAACGUGCCUUUUGGUUCGGAAUAACUCAGGGAAACUUGUGCUAAUACCGAAUGUGCCCUUCGGGGGAAAGAUUUAUCGCCAUUAGAGCGGCCCGCGUCUGAUUAGCUAGUUGGUGAGGUAACGGCUCACCAAGGCGACGAUCAGUAGCUGGUCUGAGAGGAUGACCAGCCACACUGGGACUGAGACACGGCCCAGACUCCUAAGGGAGGCAGCAGUGGGGAAUCUUGCGCAAUGGGCGAAAGCCUGACGCAACCAUGCCGCGUGAAUGAUGAAGGUCUUAGGAUUGUAAAAUUCUUUUACCGGGGACGAUAAUGACGGUACCCGGAGAAGAAGCCCCGGCUAACUUCGUG
rnacentral:rRNA from 1 species